rnacentral:rRNA from 1 species
GAUGUCAACUGGUUGUCGGGCCUUCAUUGGUUGGUAACGUAGCUAACGCGUGAAGUUGACGCCUGGGGAGUACGGUCGCAAGAUUAAAACUCAAAGGAAUUGACGGGGACCCGCACAAGCGGUGGAUGAUGUGGAUUAAUUCGAUGCAACGCGAAAAACCUUACCUACCCUUGACAUGGUCGGAAUCCUGCUGAGAGGCGGGAGUGCCCGAAAGGGAACCGAUACACAGGUGCUGCAUGGCUGUCGUCAG